CGCGUUUCUGUGGAAUAAUGAAGAGGAACAUUAGCUUCGAAGUACAUACGAAGCUACUGACGUCCACUACCGCUACCGAGAUAAGAAAGAAAAAACGCUACACUACUUACACGAGGCUGGAUUCAAUCUUGAACGAGAUCUUGGUGGCAUUGUGUGCAGCAAUGAUGAGGGAAUUGAUCAUCUUCAGCGGCCUGGGGAGGAGAUGCGAAUGUAAAUUUUGGAUUUCUAUUUAACGUUUGACGUUAGCACUCACCGUAACACCCGCUAGUUCCAAAAGCAUCUCAGCAACACUUUCAUGUUGGCCGUGUUUAUCGAAAAUGUUCACCAAGAUGCACGCGACAUCGGAGGUGGCACAAACACGGCAUUGGAUGGCUGGAUGCAUGCUGGACGAGUUUGUUAACACAAAAAUGUUCAAUUA